AAGUUAGCGGCGGACGGGUGAGUAACACGUGGGUAACCUGCCCAUAAGACUGGGAUAACUCCGGGAAACCGGGGCUAAUACCGGAUAAUCAUUUUGAACUGCAUGGUUCGAAAUUGAAAGGCGGCUUCGGCUGUCACUUAUGGAUGGACCCGCGUCGCAUUAGCUAGUUGGUGAGGUAACGGCUCACCAAGGCAACGAUGCGUAGCCGACCUGAGAGGGUGAUCGGCCACACUGGGACUGAGACACGGCCCAGACUCCUACGGGAGGCAGCAGUAGGGAAUCUUCCGCAAUGGACGAAAGUCUGACGGAGCAACGCCGCGUGAGUGAUGAAGGCUUUCGGGUCGUAAAACUCUGUUGUUAGGGAAGAACAAGUGCUAGUUGAAUAAGCUGGCACCUUGACGGUACCUAACCAGAAAGCCACGGCUAACUACGUGCCAGCAGCCGCGGUAAUACGUAGGUGGCAAGCGUUAUCCGGAAUUAUUGGGCGUAAAGCGCGCGCA
rnacentral:rRNA from 1 species